AUUGAACGCUGGCGGCAUGCCUUACACAUGCAAGUCGAACGGCAGCAUGAUCUAGCUUGCUAGAUUGAUGGCGAGUGGCGAACGGGUGAGUAAUACAUCGGAACGUGCCCUGUAGUGGGGGAUAACUAGUCGAAAGAUUAGCUAAUACCGCAUACGACCUGAGGGUGAAAGUGGGGGACCGCAAGGCCUCAUGCUAUAGGAGCGGCCGAUGUCUGAUUAGCUAGUUGGUGAGGUAAAGGCUCACCAAGGCGACGGUCAGUAGCUGGUCUGAGAGGACGAGCAGCCACACUGGGACUGAGACACGGCCCAGACUCCUACGGGAGGCAGCAGUGGGGAAUUUUGGACAAUGGGGGCAACCCUGAUCCAGCAAUGCCGCGUGUGUGAAGAAGGCCUUCGGGUUGUAAAGCACUUUUGUCCGGAAAGAAAUCGCACUUACUAAUAUUAGGUAUGGAUGACGGUACCGGAAGAAUAAGGACCGGCUAACUACGUGCCAGCAGCCGCGGUAACAC
rnacentral:rRNA from 1 species